AAGUCGUAACAAGGUUUCCGUAGGUGAACCUGCGGAAGGAUCAUUAACACGUAUCCAAACGUAAAAAACCCCCCCCGUGAACAUUCAAUCCUGCUCUUGUAACCCGCGUAGUUCGCAAUCUCUGUUAGUGUCUGAAAGUGUCACUGAUUGUGCAAGGAUAGCGCUUCAACGAUUCCUGUAGACCGUACACUCGGGCAGGAGCUAUGCCAAAGGGUCCCCAUGCCCCCUUAUAACCCCACAGUUUAAUGUGAAGCUCAAUGUAAUACAUUGGGUAAAAAAACCGAACAACUGUUAACAAUGGAUAUCUUGGUUCUC
rnacentral:misc_RNA from 1 species